CCAGACUCCUACGGGAGGCAGCAGUGGGGAAUAUUGCACAAUGGGGGAAACCCUGAUGCAGCGACGCCGCGUGAGUGAAGAAGUAUUUCGGUAUGUAAAGCUCUAUCAGCAGGGAAGAAAUAGCGACCUUUGGGUCGCCAGACGGUACCUGACUAAGAAGCCCCGGCUAACUACGUGCCAGCAGCCGCGGUAAUACGUAGGGGGCAAGCGUUAUCCGGAUUUAUUGGGUGUAAAGGGUGCGUAGACGGGAAAUUAAGUUAGUUGUGAAAUCCCGCGGCUCAACUGAGGAACUGCAACUAAAACUGAUUUUCUUGAGUGCAGGAGAGGUAAGUGGAAUUCCUAGUGUAGCGGUGAAAUGCGUAGAUAUUAGGAGGAACACCAGUGGCGAAGGCGACUUACUGGACUGUAACUGACGUUGAGGCA
rnacentral:rRNA from 1 species